rnacentral:rRNA from 1 species
GGAGGAAAGCAGGGGAUCGAAAGACCUCGCGUUAUUGGAGCGGCCGAUGCCGGAUUAGCUAGUUGGUGAGGUAAAGGCUCACCAAGGCGACGAUCCGUAGCUGGUCUGAGAGGACGACCAGCCACACUGGGACUGAGACACGGCCCAGACUCCUACGGGAGGCAGCAGUGGGGAAUUUUGGACAAUGGGGGCAACCCUGAUCCAGCCAUGCCGCGUGAGUGAAGAAGGCCUUCGGGUUGUAAAGCUCUUUCGCAAGGAAAGAAAACUUAUCUACUAAUACUAGGUGAGGAUGACGGUACCUUGAUAAGAAGCACCGGCUAACUACGUGCCAGCAGCCGCGGUAAUACGUAGGGUGCGAGCGUUAAUCGGAAUUACUGGGCGUAAAGCGUGCGCAGGCGGUUUCGUAAGCCAGAUGUGAAAUCCCCGGGCUCAACCUGGGAACUGCGUUUGAAACUACAAGGCUAG